rnacentral:lncRNA from 1 species
UCAAAGUUUAAUAUUUAAGUCAAAAUCCAAUUUUAACGAAAAUAUAAAAUGUCGUCAAUUUUAAAUAAAAUUUUAAUUUGGGUCAAAAUUAAAUUAUGGGUCGAACCCAAUUAAAAUUAAUUUUAAAAUCCUUUUAAAAUUCAAAUUCAAAAAUCUUUUGAAAAUUGCAUCUUGACCCAAAUUUAAAAUUAUAAUCAGGACCUCCCAAUUCCAAAAAUUGUAAGUAGGCCCUUCAUUUAAAAUUGCAAACUUGACCCCUUAAAGAAAAUUGCAGGAAGGCCCCUUAAAUUUCAUAAAUUGCAAAGGCAGCCCCCGUCCCAAAAUCAGCCACCCGUUUUUCUGAAAACCCUAAGAAUUCACCCAAAUUUUUUUUUUUUUAUUAGUUUCUCCAGUGGCGGCGCCGGCCACUGGAGGGCAAGACCCGCCGCCUGGCGGCGGGUCUUGCGACCGCAAGUCAGCAGCGGCACACUGCCGCUGCUUCAGCGCCCCGCAGGCGCCGCUGCGGAUUGCAGCGGCGCCUGCUGCUGCCGCUGCCGGCGGGUAGCACGCUGCUACCCGCCGGCAGUAGAGGCAGGGCC